UACUUUCGCAGAUGCCUGAUUGCAUUAAGAGAUCCUUAAAUUAUCUAGCUAACCAUAGUUGAAGAGUAUAGUCAAUUAUAUAAACUCAUUGACCAAACUCGUUGAGUUCUGAAUCUUGUCUAAUCUGGCAUUUACAGGAGUUCGGGAUGUUAUAGGUGGGAUCCUGUGGAAUACAGGUAUCCUCUCAACAGGUUCAAAGAAUCGGGAUCUUCUAUUCAGCUAUGUGGUGUCAGCCGCCACAUCCAGAACUAUCGACGCUUAAUAUGCUGAUCCAAGAUCGGAAUUUGAAAAUUCACGAACUUAAUUGCACUCUGAUGCUACUGUUGGUCCUUAUUAGAUAGACAAGAUUACAGAUUGUGUGGACUAAAAGUACCUGUUAGCUGCUUGGAACUUAUCGUUAUUCUUGAUUCUGAAAUUUUUACUCCACAUGCUCGACACUUGCAGAUGAUAGCAAUUGAUGCAUCCUGGCAGCAGGAUAUGUCACUAUUGGGCUUAAAAUCUGACCAAUCCAAAGCAGCAGAGUCCAUUAUGCAACCAACUCACCAUGGACU
rnacentral:lncRNA from 1 species